rnacentral:tRNA from 1 species
ACCUGGGUGGCUCAGUCAGUUGAGCAUCUGACUUCAGCUCAGGUCAUGUUAUCUCAAGGUUCGUGAGUUCAAGCCCCACACUGGGCU